UGUCUGAGAGCUGGAGAUCUCAUUUGUAUGGAUGGGCCCUCCUUUUCUGAGAGCAUGAAAGGGGAAAGGACAGGUUAGGGAGGUCUGCUCAGCUGUGGUGUCACAGAAGGCAAGAUCAGUGAUGACUUCCCCCAUGGGAUGGUCACCUCUCCUCCUCACCCUCCUCAUUCACUGCACAGGGUCUUGGGCCCAGUCUGUGCUGACUCAGCCACCCUCAGUAUCUGGGGACCUAGGCCAGACAGUCACCAUCUCCUGCACCAGAAGUGCCAAUAACAUCGGUAUUGUUGGUGUGAACUGGUACCAACAGCUCCCAGGAAAGGCACCUAAUCGCCUCAUCUACAGGAAUAACAAUCGACACUCAGGGGUCUCUGAACGAUUUUCUGGCUCCAAGUCUGGCAGCUCAGGCUCUCUGACCAUCAGUGUGCUUCAGGAUGAGGAUGAGGCUGAUUAUUACUGCCAGUCCUUUGAUUCCAGACUCCGUGUUGACACAGUGCUCCAGGCCGGUGGGGAAGUGAGACAAAACCCUGCUGUCCCCCCAGCCAUGGGACUUCCCAUCUAGCCCUGACUUUUUGGCCAAAUCAGAUACUUCUUCUUUGUUUGAUAUAAACUAGGAUCUGAAACUCACUUCAAGGAAUUUGUCUAUAAAGUCUUUCCACAUUCUCUGAAA